UAGGGUUUGAUUAUGGCUCAGGAUGAACGCUAGCGGCAGGCCUAAUACAUGCAAGUCGUGGGGCAGCAGCAGAGCUUGCUCUGGCUGGCGACCGGCAAACGGGUGCGUAACACGUAUGCAACUUUCCUCUAACUGGGAGAUAGCCAUGAGAAAUUAUGAUUAAUAUCCCAUAGUAUCCUUAACUCACAUGGGUCUAGGAUUAAAGCUCAGGCGGUUAGAGAUAGGCAUGCGGCCCAUUAGUUAGUUGGUGAGGUAACGGCUCACCAAGACAACGAUGGGUAGGGGGCGUGAGAGCGUGGCCCCCCACACGGGCACUGAGACACGGGCCCGACUCCUACGGGAGGCAGCAGUAGGGAAUAUUGGGCAAUGGACGCAAGUCUGACCCAGCCAUGCCGCGUGGAGAAUGACAGCCCUAGGGUUGUAAACUCCUUUUAUAUGGAAAGAACAGCACCCUUUUUAGGGUGUUUGACGGUACCUUAUGAAUAAGCACCGGCUAACUCCGUGCCAGCCGCCGCGGUAAUUCA
rnacentral:rRNA from 1 species